AACUCAGUCCUGCUUGGGCGGUGACACAGACAUGUGAGGGACCCGGGCUUACAGCACACCUCACUUGGGGCUGACGCAGUUUUUCACGCGCUUGGUAGGCACUUGUGGUCAGUGACUGCCGAGCUGGACAGCGCGGCUCUGUGUGAUGGCUGAAUAUUCGAGCACUAUUUGCCAAACAGAGUACAGAGUACCUGAGCAGCAACAUUACCUGCAUUCCUGACCACCACGGCUUUAAGAAUAUCCACCAGCCACGAGGGAGCUCCGUUGCUUUCAGACUCGCCUGAGGCUGGGCUUUGGAGAUGCUUCCAGAUUCAAAGGUCUCUGGGAUCCAGCAUGGGUCCCAGGUCUCCUGGACGGCAUGACUAUGUGAUGUCAAGACAUGCUCAGAAGGUCUCAGAAUGGGGUCACAAAGCCCCGCAAGGUUGACUUCAUUGCCUCUCACAUGACAUCCUGCAGAGUUGCUGCCUGCCAGCUGGCAGUGGGAACCAGAGCUGGGGAGCUGGUGGGAUGGCUGCCUAAAGCUAGGCGGCCCUUCCAAGCACCACCCGUGGCCCGUUUCCCUGCCACUCAGCACGUGGUCCUGUGGCUUGGCCCAGUCUUGAAGGAAACCUGUGUCUGAGUGGUUCUGUGCCUGUCACCUCAGUUGGACUCAAGAUCACAAACUCAGUCAUGGAGUGUUUUUCCCACAUGAAGCUAAAAACUUAAGAAGAAGGGGCAGGGCUGAUAUUUGAUGUCUGCAGCCCCCUCCUCUGAGGCUGCCCUGACACCUCUGUAAACUCACCCUGAGAUCUAAUUAGCCAAACCCACCUUCUCCUGACCAUGGGCCUCGGAGGUCACUACAUAAACCAGGAAAAUUGAUAGUGGAAUUAUGCACUUAGAAAUUAAUUUUGUACUGUACUGGAUAUAUAUUUUUUUACUGUGACUUUAUCUUGUUGAAAAAGUGCUUACUUCUGAUUUUGUGGAUAUUACUGACCGUGGAUUACUUUUAUUUUGGUUUUUACACAACAG
ensembl:lncRNA